UACGAACUGCGCGAACGUUAUUCGGAAUCACUGGGCUUAAAGGGUGCGUAGGCGGCGAUACAAGUCAGAUGUGAAAGCCAACAGCUCAACUGUUGAAUUGCGUUUGAAACUGUAUUGCUUGAGUGUGACAGGGGUAUUCGGAACUUCCAGUGGAGCGGUGAAAUGUGUUGAUAUUGGAAGGAACACCGGUGGCGAAAGCGGAAUACUGGGUCAUUGCUGACGCUGAGGCACGAAAGCCAGGGUAGCGAACGGGAUUAGAAACCCCGGUAGU
rnacentral:rRNA from 1 species